CAAAACUGCAAAUAGUAAAGAAAAUACUGGGUUCAUUAACAAGAUGAGAGCCCCCCAAAAAACAAAAAGUAUUGAAGUUUUCCUACAAAUAUGAUACUCACGAUGGCAGGUCGUAUAGGCGAACGGUAUUGUCUUUGCAUGAAACAAGCAGGAUGUGCUUGGACUGUGAAUCUUCUAUUCCACAGAGAGCAAGUAUACCCUGAAUUAGAGGAAAAUCAUCACAUUUAGGAUCUCAUAUUAAAAAUCAGCUUCAUGUAGAGAUAAAAUACAGUUUGAUGCUGUUUGCUAUGGAUGCACCCAAAGUAGAAUGUGCUCACAUUGUCUUCUUCCACUUCAUUGACUACUUCCAAGUCUCCAAUUUCAUUUGCUGCCCAGACCUACAAAAAGCACAAAGUAUACCAACGAUCAAAGAAUGCACGUAACAAAAAUAAAACUUUAUCAUUAAAUCAAGAAAGUGGCUAUUAAGCGGAAAGGCAACAAAACACACCUUCAAUCUGUUGUCCAAUGAACCAGACAGCAAAAACUUGUCCCAGCAAAGGACAGACGUGACAAAAUUCUUAUGUCCAUUUAAUAUUUGCAGACACUGCAAAGUUUUCAGGUCCCACACCUGAAAGUUAAAAACCAUAGAAGUGAAUGAGACAAGAAAGUGCAACUUUGUAAAGGAGACACCAAACUACGAAAUCCUGUGCAGUGUCAGCAACUACAGCCAAUGGCGGCCACAGACAUUAAGGAUUAUUUUCUUUCUUUUAAUUUUUUUUCCUUUUUUUUGGGGGGAGGGGGAAGAAGGGUGGGAAACCUACAUAUUUACAAGACUUAGGAGGACUACGUUCAAUUAUCAUUGUUGUUUUCUAAUUUCUGAAGGGGAUGAUGGGGAAAAGGGUCAUUCUAAUUUUUCUGAACUUGAAAACAACUAAACAUCCAAUAAGAAACAAAACAAAUUUCAUAAAUCUUCAAUCCAGUUGCACCCAAACGUGUCACAAUAUUUUUCAGCUCAUCAGUACCAUUUUUCUUGAAGAUGCCAAGGUUGAAAUAACAUAUAAAAAGUACGAAAACAACAUGCAAAGAUCAGCUAAUAAAACGUUAUCUACAAUAAAAAUCAGAUGCAAUGAAACAAACGAGAGAAAGGAUGAAAAGCACAAAUUUCUGGAACUAAAGAGGACUACAAUCAUCCAAAUAUAUGAGAAACUUUAUGUUUUAGACUAAGGAUAGAUUAAUUUGCAUCCAUAUGCAAAAUGUCAUCGCAAAAAAGUACUAAGAGAUUCAACUAAAGAACUACUGAUACUGAUAAUCCUUAAUUAAAGGUACUCUAACAGGGAGAAUAUCAUAAAAGGGGACCAUACUCUUAUGCUUUCAUCCUCGGAACCUGAGUAGAGGCAAUUAGCUCCCACAACAAGCGAGAGCACAGCAAAUCUGUGGCCCAUUAAAAAAGCCACCGGUUCAGGGGAACAGGACACUGAUGUGGACUUCCACACCAAUAUGGAACCAUCCUGCCACAAACAAAUUAUUACAAACAUAGAAAUACAACACUAACUCUAGUCACUUGGCAAUAUAAAACUUAGAUAUACAAAUUAAGAAAAUUAUCAAAUCUACAAUCUAAGGAACUAAUGCUAGCAAAAUUAGGAAUAACUCAAAUAACUGAUGGUAGGUACCUGCACUCCGCCAAAAAGCAUAUCUUCACCCACAUCCAUGGCAUGAACUAGGCCAUUUGGUCCACUAAGGACAAGCUCAGUCCGACUUUCGAUGUUCCAUGCCUACAACAAGAACAUUCGUACAAUUAUCAUACAAUACAAGUGAAUAUACCAAGUAAUAAUUGUGCAGAAACAGGGCCCUGAUCAUUAGAGACGUCCCAACAGGAAAGCUAUAUUAAAAAUUGAUCAUGAUGGCAUAAUGGUGAAAAGCUCUCAGACUGUCAUACCUGUACAGCAUUUUGCAAACCUGCAAAUACCCAUGGGCCUUCACUUAUCAAGCAUCCAAUUUCACCACCGAGUUCAGCAGUCACAACACACUGCAUCAAGAGAUAGAAUACCAAUGAAGCACUCCUUAUUUAGGAGAAAGUGAAUCAAUUUCACAGAUGAAGGGACAGAAGCCAACCUGACCAGUGUGGCAAUCCCAAACACAGACAGAAUUAUCCUUACUGCUGGAAAAGAGCUUGUCUGACCCAGAAGGAAGAGCUAUGCCAGUAACAGCCUAUGCCAAAAGUUUCAUAAAUUGAUUAAAAGCGAAAGAUGGAAGAUGCUUCAGGAAAACAGAAAAGAAUAAAUUAAAAUCCAGAAAUAAAAUAUUCAUUAGAUAAUCACCUUACUGUGCUUCUGUAACUUUGUCAACGGUGAGAACCCAGAGCCUGAGAAUAAUGAAUGCAAAUCCUUGCAUUUUUCACCAUCAACGCAAUUACCACUGACCCAAUAUGGGCAUAGUUUUUUCUGGGAUUUCUGACAACUUCCACCAACAGAACAAGCUCUUCUGGAGGUCAAAACCUCAUUCUUUGUCACGUGAACCAUUUUACCUUCAGCACCCACACCUUCUGUGGAUGAAACUGCUAAAAUCUUAGGGUUGGAGAGGUCGGGAUUCCUCCAAGUGGAUCUAAACUUAUUGCCUCUUUGACCAUUGGAUGAUGUCCGAGGGGGUCGCUUUGGUUGUGUUUGUCGUUGUGGGGGCUGGUCUUGUCGUGGUUUCAGUGAAUCUACAUGGCGAAACCUGCAGGGGUUCCUAGUGCACUUCCCAGCAAGCCAAAAACCACAGACUUGAUUGUUGCCAUAGGGCAGGCUUCCAGAACGAUUAAAGACCAUUUUUCUUGGCUUCUCAAUGGGCCUGCUCUCUGUCUUGAUUUCCAUGAUACUAAUGCAAAGAAUUUGCAGAAACCACAAUUACUCAAAAAGGCAAAAAGAACUCUUUGGAACAUUUAAAAGAAAAAAACUUGUGCUUUCUGGCAAAGAACCUGCCGCAACAAUCCGAUGCAAUAGACCAACUAAAACCCCAAACCACUGAUCUUUGAUCUCGGAUAUCCCAAAACUAUCCAGGUUGCAGGCAGACUCCAUAGCAGAAGCACAAACAAAAAAUACCACAUAGCUGUAGAAAAUCUUAAGCUAAAGCAAUCCAAUCCUAAUUUUCCCCUCUGAUCACUAAAUCAACCGAGCAGAGUGGAAGAGAAUUGAAUCGUAGCAGCACCAAAAAUUCCAAAUAACAGCUAAAUCAGACGCCAAAAUCUAAGAACUAAAUACCGGCCCAUAAAACAAUAAGAGGACCAGAUAAAAUGGCCAAAAAGCAUUCUGAAAAGUAAGCACUUGAUGAGAACCACUAUUCAAACCCAUCACUCAGAAACCCUAAUUUCCCCAAUCUUUGAGGAGAACUCCAGAUAAUCUAGUCGGUCAUCUCUGCAGAAUCAUCACGGAUAUUCCAAGAACAAUACGACAAAAUUCAUCCACAAUCACGAAACCCUAAACAAGAAAACCCAAAAACUCCAAGGCCGCAAUGAGCGAAAAUCGGACGCCAAGGCCACAGCAGCGAAGAAAAACGACCCGCUUUUCGAAAUAACAUCCUUGAAACCAAGGCAAACUGAGCGAUGAAUACAAACAACGUUUUAUGUAUCGAUUCUUGAAAAAGAUAACAGCAAACCUGAGACUGCGAAUGCAAAAACUCAAAAUGCCCCCUGACAGAAUGCGACUCCGCUAAAAACCUUUGCUUCGAUCGAUCGGAGAUAAUUGACGAAAACUCACAACUUUGAUAACUAAAGUUUCUAUCUUUCCUUCAGAGGGAAGCGCGUUGGACAGUUACAGCUAGUUUGCGAGGGAGGGAGGGAGGGAGGGAAUGAAUAGAAAGGAAGGGAUUUGGAAUUGGAUGAAUGCGCUCCUCUUUCUGUCGCUGUUUGGGAGUAGAUGGGAUAAAGAAAACGAAGGAUUUUAUAGGAUUUUGCUUUCUUGGGGUCCAAGGAAAAAGAAUGAUUUGAGUGCAAUUUUUUAAUAUGACAAAUAUACCCUUAAAAAGGCAAUACAGAUGUGUUUAAUUCCCGAUGAAUCCCUCUCUUGAACAAAAUCCUUUCACAUUCUUUCACCGGAAUACGUCCUUUGGAUGGGAACCCUACUCUACACCGAGUGAAUAGGUGGAUCUAUCAUCUAAGGAGUCAAUGAGGAACUCAUCGCUCGAGGCCUUUGCAUUUGUUCGUGAAAUUUUUAAAAAAUCUUGAACAAGUGCGAUGAAAUUAGCUAUUUUUAUAGAUAUUUUAAAAAUAUUUUAUUGUAACAGAGUAUUUAUAAUAUAUUUUAAAAUAUUUUUAAAAAAUAUAUUGAGAUAUUUAAAAAUAGAAGAGUUUUUAAAAUAUAUUUUAAAAUUUUUUUAAAUAUUUAAAAAAACAUAAAUUACUUUUUAGAAUACUUUUAAAAAUAUUUUUUAAAAAUUUUAAUAGUAUUUGAAAAAUUAAUUUUUGAAAAACUCAGCCAUCCAAACAGUAAGUUUAAAACUUUUCUGGUAACCAACUGCUUUAGUUGAUUUUUUCGCCGAAAUACCACCUUCUUCUUCCUUUUUUGGCGCCGUGAAAAAAGUAGGUGGCUCAUUUAGGACUCUUUUUCUUUCACAGGUUAGCGAUCAAAUUUCUCUCAUUCUUAUUUUACUUUCUACGGUUCACUUUAGUUUUGCUUGACUUAAGCAUUAAAGGCUUGAGAAUUAUGGUGGAUUGACAAUAAAUUUACUAAUAAAUACUUUAUCUAUUUAUUACUAAAUUGACUCAUAAAAUAAAUCUAUUAUCAGCAAUAAUUUUAGAUGGAUGCAGAAGCAAAUGAACUAGUUUCCUAAAGAUUACUACUUAUUUACUUUGUUUAUGGAAAGGCCAUAUUUGUAAAGAAACUUAUUUAACCAUCAUUUCUUUUCAUUUGUCUUCAACUAGAAACAAAUGAAACUACUUAAGUUCUUUUCUUUUCUAAACUCCCAACGAUUUGAAAUGAAGAUCGUAUCAUUUCUCUUCUUUUCUUUGCCUUUCUAACAUGUCAUUUUUCUUUUUUGCUUUUCUAUUCUAAACUCCCAAACUAGCUAGGAAAGAAAGCAUCUCAAGAGCAUACGAGUUUUGAUAUAUGGAUUGUUUACCUUAUUUUACAGACCAUACCCUAACCUAAUUUUUCAAACAAGUUCGAAUAACCUAAUCAUUUUAAAAAUUAUGCAUUAUUUAUCCUAUAUUUUUGUUUGGACCAGUUUAAUUUUCUUGAUUACCCGAUUUUUCAAUUCUUUUUUAACACCCUGAAUGGGAGGUCUCGAAUAUGAAAUCUCUCACUUACACUUUCUUUUUCGUAUCACUUAACCUAUCCCUCUUUUUUCUUUGCUUUUCUUGUUUGAGUUCUUUUAUUUUCCCGUUUGAUUGCCCAAUAUAUAUAUAUAUAUAUAUAUAUGUAUAUAUGUAUAUGUAUAUAUAUAUAUGAAAAGCAAUUCAAAAAAUGAAGCAAGCAAAUGCAUGGUAUACCAAACUAACGUAUAGGUAACAUUUUCUCUCUCAAUACGAUGCCACCACUUGUACAAGAUCUACACUUACUGCCAAUAAUAUAUCAAUUUAAAAAAUACUUAAAUCUUUAGAAUUUAAUGAUAAUCCUAUAUUUUUUAUUUCGUUCAUCGAAACGAUGAUUUUAUUCAUGGCGACCAAAAAUACAGAUUAUAAGGGUAGAAAUUGAUCAAUUUUAUUUUUUUGUAGUAAUAGCACUGCACCCAGACCCAGUUCUAUUUUCAUUUGGAUUGUAAGUUUAAUAGUAAACAACUUAUGAUAGUCUGGUAAGUUGGAUGCAUUUUUGUUGGUUUAAUAUCUGGAUGUAGCAUCAUCAUUAAAGGGAAAAAGAAAGACCCACUGGUGAUAAGUUCGACAACUUAAUCGAAAAGAUAAUAUCUUACACUUGAUAGAUAAAAGGAUGUCUCCAUGUUUUUUACAUAUUCAGUCUCUCCGAAAGAGAGUGUUCUUAUCAAUCCCCUCCUAAAGCUACAAGUGAAAGCUCUAUUACAGUUCCAGGAGAGGCUUUCACGACGAUUUAGCCUCCUCUGCAGAUGACCCUCCUAGCAGCUUCCAAACAGACAGCUGUCCUGUAGCAUCACCAGUGAAAAACAGGUCACCACAACCUACGGCAAUGGCCUCUAUUACAGUUCCAGGAGAGGCUUUCACGACGAUUUAGCCCUCCUCUGCAGAUGACCCUCCAAGCAGCUUCCAAACAGAUAACUGUCCUGUAGCAUCACCAGUGAAAAACAGGUCACCACAACCUACGGCAAUGGCCUCAACUUCUCUCUUAGCAAAUACUCUGCCUCUUUCAGAAAAUCUGUAGAAGUUCAAAACAAUGAAUCCAUUUAUCAGAUGAAGGAACAUCAACAAAAUCUUUCCACCCAAAAAAAACAAAUAAAUCAAGAAUCUAUGAACGUGACGACACUCACGAUGGCAGGUCGUAUAGGCGAACGGUAUUGUCUUUGCAUGAAACAAGCAGGAUGUGCUUGGACUGUGAAUCUUCUAUUCCACUAAGAGCAAGAAUACCACUUUCUUCCUUAAAUUCAUAAACUACUUGCAC
rnacentral:lncRNA from 1 species